GAGUUGAUUCAUGAUUAGGAAAGGUGAAAUAUGAGCACAGAAAGUCACAUGCUGAGAUCUCUUUCUCUCCCCAUCCCUAUACAUGCCACUUCCUCCAAAACUUGAAAUCUAAUACCUCACUAUAAAUAUAUACAGUGAAUCCAGCUAUGGCCAGGCUGGUUUUAAUCUUUUAAUCUGCUGGAGGGCCAAUUUCUGGGAUAGAAAAAAUAAGAUACUAAAGCAUGAGAUACAGGGUCAUUGGUACAAUGUAAGCAUUUAUUAAACAUAUUCUUCAAGGAACCGGAGGUGAGAAAUGUAAGAAGGAAAAAGGAGAGAUAGGGUCCUGUAAGUCACCGACCAUCUUGGAUGGCAGUUUGUUGAAGUCUCUGUUUAACUGCCAACUGCCCCAUAAAGGCUUCCAGGGCAUUCUUCAGUGGAAGGAUUCUCUCACCGGCUGCAGCACUUUCUCAUUCUUUCUCACCCUGGAGUGUUUGUCCAGCUUACUCAUGAGCUUAUUCUUGAGGUGCACCCACCACUAGAAUUUGAACAUCCUAAGAACAGGUAUUUUUGUCUCUGCUUUGCUGAUGUAUCCUCAGCAACCGGAACUGCCUGACAUCUGAUCCUUUCUGUGAGACACCAGGCUGUUGAGGAAGAAUCUAUGGCAACAUUGUAUCUAUUAAUAUACAGCUUCUGUAUUUAUCAGGCCCAGUUCUGGUGAUGAUUUCACUUUUGACAGAAGCUGUCCCUCAAAAGCAAACAUGCAAUAGAAGAAACAGAUCUCAGCAAUGGUGCAAGACCCACUCGAGCACGCUCAGCUAUCAUAUGGAAAAAACAAAAACACCACAUUUGCCUUAUUAUACACACAGAACCAACAGCUCUUUCUGAGAUUUGCUUGAUGAAUAACAUAUCCUCCUGGCUUCCCUUUCUAAGACUUAUCUAUAUUUUUAAACAAGCUAAAGUGUUAUCAGCUGAGGCAGAAUGUAAAAUGAAAUUUUGCUGCACAUACCCAGAAGGACACAGGCAUUGUAGGAAUACAGUUUUACUGUGGGAGAGAUUUUUACAGCAGAUCAAUAACAGAAUACUUUAUAUGGACACAACAGAGGAUUUUAGAUAACUUUUGACUCUAGUUUGUUAUUCCUACAAUUAUACCAACAUAUACUUUGCCCUUUUACCAACCCCUUUCUCCAUGUCUUUCUGCUCAUGAUGGUCUUAGAAAAGAGUGGCCUUUUUCAUUAGAGAUAAAUCUCCCAAAUGAUCACCCAUGUCUAUGCCUACAGCACACAGACAGCAUCCUCUGCUAUGUCCUUAGCUAUUUAUACAGAGGUCACCACCAAUCAACAGUGCCUUGAUCUCAAUAGCCACAGUAACUGAAUAAGUAGUUCUAGUUGUACAGAUUAAUCCAGGAUUCUAAGUUUUAAAGGAAUGUUAAUGCCACAGCAAUAACAGCUCUAUUAUUAUUUUUUAUGUCAUAAUAUGGUAGAAGUAACCCAAUUCUUGCAUUCCAAGGUGAAAUGAAGCUGUAUUCUACGUCAGAUAGAUGGAGCACUUGCUGACACUGACAACCACCUCUCCCAGUUUCAUUAAACUACCUUAGUUGAAUAAGCAUAACAUUUUCCCUUUUGGUAGUACCAGGUAAGAGGCUGGUAUAAAGUCAUACAUUAAUGAGGUUACUAAAAGGACAUUUUCAAAACCUUCUACCAUACGGCCACGUACAGUACAAUUGAAGGGUGCUAUCAAUAGCAUCAGAGUAGUGGCUGCCUCUGUACAUAACAUACAAUCCAGUAUAAAAGAUCACUAACAAACUGUUUUAAAGUCUUACAUGGCACAACUGAAGAGUUUCUAUUCUUUUCUUUGUUACACUCUUUCUGAGCACUGAAACAUUCCACAUAUUUUGCAUUACACUGUGUGACCAGCUGAAAAAGAAAAAACAUUUUAGUCUUCAUUCAAAGAUAUAAUUGAUAGCAUUUGCUUGAUGCUUUGGCAAAAAUCCCAAUCAGAUUACUGAUAAACAAGACCAUUUCUGUGCCACAAAGAACCUUUUAAGACACAGGGUCUUGCUCUCUUGCCCAGGCUGGAGUGCAGUGGCAUGAUUGUAGCUCACUGUUAACUGUGAUCCUCCCACCUCAGCCUCCUGAGUAGUUAGGACCACAGGUGCAUCAGCACAACCAGCCAGUUUUUAAAAUUGUUUAUAGAAUUGGGGUCUUCCUGUGUUUCCCAGGCUGCUCUGGGAUUACAGAUGUAAUCUACCAUGCCCAGCCCCAGAGAACACUCUUGUGCUUUCCUAGUGGUACUUCUCUCAGUGACCUUGAUUGUAUCUUUCUUAUUUCUACUAUCAGGUAGAAAUAGAUACUGUGUGCAAUAGAUAUUUCUAGAACUAUGUGGAUUCUUCUGUUAUGUGAUGUCACUGCUGCUGUGAAUUUUUUUCUGUGAUUCCUCACUGGCAUAAAAGACCUACGUGAGUCUACAUUAAAAAAGAUUGCUUAAUGCUAUUUAUUACGAGCUAAUCAAGUUUCUUGAAGAUAAAGGAGUACCUAACUAGUUCUCAGUACAUUUCUGUUGAACUGAACUAACAUUGUUCUAAGGCUUUUAUAAGUAACCAGCCCAGUAGUUUGAUUAUUAUUCCUGUUUAUGUAGCUUGGUUGAACCAUUUUGUCAAUCCUAUUUUUGGGGGGCUGGCAUCCAUCCUAAUGGAGUAUAUGAGAUCAGUGUUCUUCUCCAGAUGCUUUAGUAAAACUCAUGGUCCCUGGAUAUAAUUUUCA